AGCAGCCGCGGUAAUUCCAGCUCCAAUAGCGUAUAUUAAAGUUGUUGCAGUUAAAAAGCUCGUAGUUGAAUUUCGGGAUCAAUACGUCGGUCGUGCUUUCGGGUACGUACUGGCGUCAUUGGUUUCUCCUUUCUGACGAACCAUGAUGUCAUUAAUUUGGUGUUAUGGGGAGUUAGGACUGUUACUUUGAAAAAAUUAGAGUGUUUAAAGCAGGCAUUAGCUUGAAUACAUUAGCAUGGAAUAAUGAAAUAGGACGUUCGAUCCUAUUUUGUUGGUUUCUAGGAUCAACGUAAUGAUUAAUAGGGAUAGUUGGGGGCAUUAGUAUUCAAUUGUCAGAGGUGAAAUUCUUGGAUUUAUUGAAGACUAACUACUGCGAAAGCAUUUGCCAAGGAUGUUUUCAUUAAUCAAGAACGAAAGUUAGGGGAUCGAAGACGGUCAGAUACCGUCGUAGUCUUAACCAUAAACUAUGCCGACUAGGGAUCGGAUGAUGUUAAUUUUUUAAUGUACUCAUUCGGCGCCU
rnacentral:rRNA from 1 species